AGAGUUUGAUCAUGGCUCAGAUUGAACGCUGGCGGUAUGCUUAACACAUGCAAGUCGAACGGUAACGCGGAGAGCUUGCUCUCUGGCGACGAGUGGCGGACGGGUGAGUAACGCGUAGGAAUCUGCCCAGUAGUGGGGGACAACUCGGAGAAAUCCGAGCUAAUACCGCAUACGCCCUACGGGGGAAAGCGGGGGAUCUUCGGACCUCGCGCUACUGGAUGAGCCUGCGUUGGAUUAGCUAGUUGGUGGGGUAAUGGCCUACCAAGGCGACGAUCCAUAGCUGGUCUGAGAGGACGAUCAGCCACACUGGGACUGAGACACGGCCCAGACUCCUACGGGAGGCAGCAGUGGGGAAUAUUGGACAAUGGGCGCAAGCCUGAUCCAGCAAUACCGCGUGUGUGAAGAAGGCCUGCGGGUUGUAAAGCACUUUCAAUUGGGAAGAAAAGCCUGAGGAUAAUACCCUUGGGUCUGACGUACCUUA
rnacentral:rRNA from 1 species